AUUGAACGCUGGCGGCAGGCCUAACACAUGCAAGUCGAGCGGAUGAAGGGAGCUUGCUCCUGGAUUCAGCGGCGGACGGGUGAGUAAUGCCUAGGAAUCUGCCUGGUAGUGGGGGAUAACGUCCGGAAACGGGCGCUAAUACCGCAUACGUCCUGAGGGAGAAAGUGGGGGAUCUUCGGACCUCACGCUAUCAGAUGAGCCUAGGUCGGAUUAGCUAGUUGGUGGGGUAAAGGCCUACCAAGGCGACGAUCCGUAACUGGUCUGAGAGGAUGAUCAGUCACACUGGAACUGAGACACGGUCCAGACUCCGACGGGAGGCAGCAGUGGGGAAUAUUGGGCGAUGGGGGAAAGGCUGAUCCAGGCAAGCCGGGUGUGUGAAGAAGGUCUUCGGAUUGUAAAGCAAUUUAAGUUGGGAGGAAGGGCAGUAAGUUAAUACCUUGCUGUUUUGACGUUACCAACAGAAUAAGCACCGGCUAACUUCGUG
rnacentral:rRNA from 1 species